rnacentral:rRNA from 1 species
GAUGAACGCUCGCGGGAGGCCUAACACAUGCAAGCCGAGCGGUAGAGUUUCUUCGGAAACUUGAGAGCGGCGCACGGGUGCGUAACACGUGUGCAACCUACCUUUAUCUGGGGGAUAGCCUUUCGAAAGGAGGAUUAAUACCCCAUAAUAUAAUGAUUGGCAUCAAUUAUUAUUGAAAACUCCGGUGGAUAGAGAUGGGCACGCGCAAGAUUAGAUAGUUGGUGAGGUAACGGCUCACCAAGUCAAUGAUCUUUAGGGGUCCUGAGAGGGAGAUCCCCCACACUGGUACUGAGACACGGACCAGACUCCUACGGGAGGCAGCAGUGAGGAAUAUUGGACAAUGGGUGAGAGCCUGAUCCAGCCAUCCCGCGUGAAGGAUGACGGUCCUAUGGAUUGUAAACUUCUUUUGUACAGGGAUAAACCUACCCUCGUGAGGGUAGCUGAAGGUACUGUACGAAUAAGCACCGGCUAACUCCGUG